UUGAACCACCUGAUUCACGGCCAAUCCACCACUGUGGGUAUGUGCCACAGCCACUCAGAACGACAUCAUGGAGCCAUGUGUUGAGGCCACAGCAAUAACCACUACACGUGUCGCUGCAUUCCAAAGUCAAGGCGAAUGAAGUACUGGGAGUUGCCUCCCCGUCCUCGUAUUCAGGGUCGCUGGCACUUUUUCUACGCGACAAUGUGCCAGGAAAACACCGGCGUUUCUUCCAACGUUGGAGGGAGCCAUUUCGCAAGGAGUACGAGCGCCGACAACCCUUGAAUACGACAUGGCACUUGAUGACGACAGCGGGAUGACAUCGGCUGACGAUCCGGAUUUUGGCGCAUGUGCGGUUCUUGCCAACAACCAAUUGAGUGAUUACCGGCUGGACGGUAUCAGUCUGCUUCAUAAAGCAGCUCUCUUCAGUGCACCGACGGGGCGUGAAACCGGCAUGGCGGCAACAGUGCACUUCACGAUGUUUCUACUGCUUA